CAUGGGGGGAGCAGCUAGAGUGAAUGCACCAAGUCUUUUUUACAGGAGAGGGGAAUCAAGAACCAGAGGAUAUAGGUUUAAGGUGAGAGGGGAAAGAUUUAAGUGGAACCCGAGGGGCAA